rnacentral:RNase_P_RNA from 1 species
CCAGGCGGCCGGGCAGCCGCUGUUGCCGGCCUUCGGGCCGGUGAUGGAGGAAAGUCCGGGCUCCAUGGAGACAGGGCGGCGGGUAACACCCGCCCGGCGCAAGCCGAGGGAAAGUGCCACAGAAAGCAGACCGCCGCUGACUUUGGUCAGCGGUAAGGGUGAAAGGGUGGGGUAAGCGCCCACCGCGCGGCCGGCAACGGUCGCGGCAUGGUAAACCCCGCCCGGAGCAAGACCGAGUAGGGGGCGCACAGGGCCCGUCUCCGGCCAUGCGCCCCGGGUGUGUCGCUUGACGCGGCCCAGCAAUGGGCCGUGCAGAGGAAUGGCUGCCCCUUUCCGCCAGGAAAGGACAGAACCCGGCUUACAGGCCGCCUGGUCGC